GCGGGUAUGGUUCAGUGGUAGAACACGACCUUGCCAAGGUUGAGAUGGGGGUUCGAUUCCCCCUACCCGCU
rnacentral:tRNA from 1 species